ACGAGGAUGAUGAAAACAAUCAUUCGGAUUCCCAAUGAUUUUCUCUUCGUAAUGGUUUUUAUUCGAAGAGGAUUGUGAUCUUAAAUUCCUGUUUGACUCGUCACGAUACUGCUAUCUACACUUUUUUUUUAAAUUGAUUUUAUUUUUAAAUUGUUUAUUUUUAAAUAGGGUAUGGCCAGUGAUGUAAGAAAGAUAUUUGCUACUCUUGAUGAGAUUAUCUCAUUUGAUGAUUCUUUAUCCACCAAGAUCUCUGAGGCC
rnacentral:lncRNA from 1 species